rnacentral:rRNA from 1 species
GAAUUCAACUCCUACGGGAGGCAGCAGUGGGGAAUCUUAGACAAUGGGGGAAACCCUGAUCUAGCCAUGCCGCGUGAUCGAUGAAGGCCUUAGGGUUGUAAAGAUCUUUCAGUGGGGAAGAUAAUGACUGUACCCACAGAAGAAGCCCCGGCUAACUCCGUGCCAGCAGCCGCGGUAAUACGGAGGGGGCUAGCGUUGUUCGGAAUUACUGGGCGUAAAGCGCACGUAGGCGGACCAGAAAGUUGGGGGUGAAAUCCCGGGGCUCAACCCCGGAACUGCCUUCAAAACUAUUGGUCUGGAGUUCGAGAGAGGUGAGUGGAAUUCCGAGUGUAGAGGUGAAAUUCGUAGAUAUUCGGAGGAACACCAGUGGCGAAGGCGGCUCACUGGCUCGAUACUGACGCUGAGGUGCGAAAGCGUGGGGAGCAAACAGGAUUAGAUACCCUAGUAGUCCAGGCGUU